GGGGGCGACCUGGUUUCGACGGGGGUCGCGAAGCAGCGCAGGGCAUACCGAGGGUCAGAGCACCUCGUAAAUCCAACUGAAAAUCGUUUAAACGCAAACGACGAAACUUACGCUCUAGCCGCUUAAUUGCGCUAGACCCUACACCAGCCAGCAUACGGGUUG
rnacentral:tmRNA from 1 species